GGUUCUUGGGCCGUAUUUACGUGUACACUGAUAUAUAUUUUCAGCGGUCGUGAUAUUAGACGUGAAGACUGAAAUCUGAUAUUUAUCAACAGCUCGACCGUGAAACUAUUAGUGUUGAGUAAUGUAUUAUAUCACAACGUCUCAUCGAUGAUCGUAAUAACAAUGAAGUGGAGCAAAUUAUUACUUACACACACACACACUUUAAGUCAGAUGUACAGCUGGAUCCAUGAUUUAUGUCUGUAUGGGGUCUGUAUGUAUUAGAACAGGGAAGUGCCUGAUGCGCUUGUGGCUUAUUUUGAAUUACUUAAAAGGUUCUUAUCCAUGAUGUUCGGAUGAUUUUUUUUUUUUUUAAACUUUAUUAAAUGCUGCUGGUUUUCUGCCCAGUUUUACUCCAGAUCCUGAGAGAGAGAGAGAGAGAGAGAGAGAGAGAGAGAUGCUCACCAUGCUGGGACACGGUCGUGUCGGUCACAUGAUGUUGCUCCUCUGCGCUUUUUCUUUGUGGGCUGAAACUGUGAUGUGUGGCUCCAGCUUCCUCAGUCCAACCCAAAAACCACAGAAUCGUGGAGACCGAAAGCCACCUCGGGUGGGACGGAGGACUGCAGCUGAACUCGAGGCUCCUCUUCCUUCCGAGGAGAAGAUCAUGGUAUGCGAACGUUCGGGCGAGAAAUAAAAGGAAGAAGUAAAUAAAUGACGUUCUGCUUCCGUCAGCGCUGCACGAACCCUCAGCCUCAUAAAAACACUGCGCGUGUAAACGUUCAAAUCCGACAUUUUAUUCAUCAAUUAACCUUCAGUUCAGUCAAUAAAAUACUUAGACUGAGAUAAAGCCAGCUGGAGAAUGCGGUGUGAGUUAGGGAGCGUCUACAAAGUGACACGUUUGAAGAAGAUGAAGAGAUCAGUGCCGUGUGAACUAGAUGACAGUAAUGAUGCACCUUUGAGAACCUCUGGACUUUGGAUGUAGAGUCAAAUGAUCACUCUUUACAACCACGGUGAGCAGAAGGUGGAAUGAACGAAUUAACUAUGGUGCAUAGAGAGCUACAGCUGCAUCAAAAAGUUUGCACCCCCAUGGUUUUUGAAUGGAUGAAAGGAAAAGCGUAUCUCUGUGUUAUAAACAUGUACAUCUGAAUACAGAUACAAAUACGAGGCCACUAUUAGAAAGGGUCUCAGGACAUCCAGAGACGUGCAUCUGGACUGGGAUCCCGACAAAUAAGUCGUGAGCGAGAGGGCAGAUAUGAAUCUUUCGGGACUCACAGCACUCACUCAUUUAUCCUCAGUAACCGCCUGAUCAGGGUCACGUUAGAUUCAAGAAACUGCUAGUUUCUUUAUAUUAAAAAAAAGAACUAAACUAAAUUCGUUAGAAAAUAUCACGAGCGGAGACCAGACUUCUCAGACCGUGCGGACAUUUGCGUUUCUUCCCCUGGGUUUUAACCUCGUGAACUGAUCAGUGGGAAUUGUCCUUACGGCUGUGCAGGUGAGCGCAACGUUCCAGCUGGCCGUGUCUCUCAGUGAUGCAGAAUACGAGGAUUAUGGUCCUGUGCUACAGAGGAUGUUACUGGAUGUCCUGGGUGAUCCGCCUACUUUGGACGGUGCAAACUAACAGCAUUUGAACUUAAAUGAUUCCUGAUUCAUAACCGCUCAAAUUAUUACAACAAACUGUGAAAUGU